rnacentral:rRNA from 1 species
UACGGAGGAUGCGAGCGUUAUCCGGAUUUAUUGGGUUUAAAGGGUGCGUAGGCGGAUUAAUAAGUCAGUGGUGAAAUCCUGCAGCUUAACUGUGGAACUGCCAUUGAUACUGUUAGUCUUGAGUAUGGUCAAGGUAGGCGGAAUGUGUAAUGUAGCGGUGAAAUGCUUAGAUAUUACACAGAACACCAAUUGCGUAGGCAGCUUACUGAGCCGACACUGACGCUGAGGCACGAAAGCGUGGGGAUCAAACAGGAUUA